rnacentral:rRNA from 1 species
GAUGAACGCUGGCGGCGUGCCUAAUACAUGCAAGUCGAGCGAACAGACGAGGAGCUUGCUCCUUCGACGUUAGCGGCGGACGGGUGAGUAACACGUAGGUAACCUACCUAUAAGACUGGGAUAACUUCGGGAAACCGGAGCUAAUACCGGAUAAUAUUUUGAACCGCAUGGUUCGAUAGUGAAAGAUGGCUUUGCUAUCACUUGUAGAUGGACCUGCGCCGUAUUAGCUAGUUGGUAAGGUAACGGCUUACCAAGGCAACGAUACGUAGCCGACCUGAGAGGGUGAUCGGCCACACUGGAACUGAGACACGGUCCAGACUCCUACGGGAGGCAGCAGUAGGGAAUCUUCCGCAAUGGGCGAAAGCCUGACGGAGCAACGCCGCGUGAGUGAUGAAGGUCUUCGGAUCGUAAAACUCUGUUAUUAGGGAAGAACAAACGUGUAAGUAACUGUGCACGUCUUGACGGUACCUAAUCAGAAAGCCACGGCUAACUACGUG